AUGCUCCGGCCGCUCUGCACCUCCUGGGGCCGCCCCGACAGGACCCCCCGCCCUCCCGGAGCCUCCCCGGUAACCGCUCACCCGCCGGCGGCCGGGGAGGGGGCGCAGCUCGGGGCCGGAGGAAACCGAAGCACCGGCUGGGGGGCGGCGGGGAGGUUCGUGUCUGUCCCCGGCAGCGCAAGGAGGCGGCCCAGUGCCGGUGGAGGGAACGGGAGGGGAGCCCCGCGGCCCCUUCUACAGCCCCGCCUGGCCCGUUCCCCUUCCGCUGCCUCAGUUUCCCGGGGCCGCCCCCCGCGCCGCAGUGCCGGUGCCCGCCGCCGGCCCGGCCCUGACGCAGCACUCGCUAUUUUUAGCCGCGGGGAGCGGCUGUUGCGAUGCUACCGGCGCCCGGUGCCGGCGCCCAGCCCCGGUCCCGGGGGAGCGGCGGGGCGGAGGCGGCCCCCGAGCUCCCUCCAGUGCGGAGGUUGGGGUGGGCGACGCUCGGCCGCUCCCCGCUCCCCACCCCGGGUCCGUGCUUUAAUGCGGAGCCGCAGCAGCGGCGGACACGGGGCUGGCGGAGCUGCCCCGCCCCGGUGCCGGUGCUGGUCUCGGUGCCGGUGUAGGUGCCGGUGCCGACCCGCUCACCUGCCUGCGGAGGAUGCUGGAGGUGGUGUCGGACGAGGUGCUGCCGUCCGAGCGCUUGAAGCGGCUCUUGCGCUUCGGGAGCCUCCGGGGACUCUGCGGCGAGAGCAGGCGGUGAGCACCGGGCAGCACCGGGCGGCACCGGGCGGCUCGGCCCCGCCGCGGAGCUGCCACCGGCGGCCGCUGGCUCUGCGGACAGAACCGAACCGGGCCGCACGGGGCCCGCGACGGCCGGGAGGGCUCCGGUCUGCUCACCUGGAAGGAGCCGGAAGCAUCAGGCUGCGCCGGGGCGGACAUCCCCGGCGGCACCCACCGGAGCCCCGGGGAUCCCGGCGGGGCAGCCCCACACCGGACCGCGGCGCUCCGCGGGGAAGGGCCGCGCCGCCGCCGCCACUGCCGCGCUCCGCAUCACACGGGGCCGCCGGGGCGUCCCGGCCGUCCCCGCCCCCGCCUGCCCGCCCCCGCGCCCAUCCCCGCGGCGGCCGGUCCGCGCCCCCGCAGCUGGGCAGCCACCGGCAGCCACCGGGAACGGACCCUGCCCACAACCCGCAGCGCUGCGGCGGCCGGCCGCGCGGUACCGGGGAAGAGGAGCCCCCCGGGGCCGCCGCAGCCCUGCCCACGCGUGUGCGGGGAUGCGGGAGCCAGAGCCCCUCCGCCCGCAUCCCACCGGGACGGCUCCCGCAGCCGCCGUGCCCCUUCCACAGCUUUUUUUGCCACCCCCACGCCAGGGCAUCACCUCCCCCCCCGUCCCCCCCGCGGGGUUACGCCUCCAAAGUCUCCCGCGUGGGGCAGGCGGGGCCGUGGGGGGCCGCAGCCCACCCACCCCACGCCCCGUGUCCCCGCCAUGCCCACGGUAUCGGCCGGUUCCGGUGCUCCAACAUCGCCGGACCCGAGGGGCAGAAGGGGACAACGGGCCGGGGAUGGAGCCGGAGCCCCACGGAGCCCCAGCGUGGGCCCCCCCAUCCCCCGCGCGGCGAGACUUCCGCGUGGGGCCGCAGGGACACGGCCCCGCCGGCGGCUCCUAAUUAA
ensembl:lncRNA